ACGAAGGUGGCAAGCGUUGUUCGGAUUUACUGGGCGUACAGGGAGCGUAGGCGGUUGGGUAAGCCCUUCGUGAAAUCUCCGGGCCUAACCCGGAAAGUGCGGAGGGGACUGCUCGGCUAGAGGAUGGGAGAGGAGCGCGGAAUUCCCGGUGUAGCGGUGAAAUGCGUAGAGAUCGGGAGGAAGGCCGGUGGCGAAGGCGGCGCUCUGGAACAUUUCUGACGCUGAGGCUCGAAAGCGUGGGGAGCAAACAGGAUUAGAUACCCUGGUAGUCCACGCCUUAAACGAUGGAUACUAAGUGUCGGCGGGUUACCGCCGGUGCCGCAGCUAACGCAUUAAGUAUCCCGCCUGGGAAGUACGGCCGCAAGGUUG
rnacentral:rRNA from 1 species